rnacentral:rRNA from 1 species
CCUGAUGGAGGGGGAUAACUACUGGAAACGGUAGCUAAUACCGCAUAACGUCGCAAGACCAAAGAGGGGGACCUUCGGGCCUCUUGCCAUCGGAUGUGCCCAGAUGGGAUUAGCUAGUAGGUGGGGUAACGGCUCACCUAGGCGACGAUCCCUAGCUGGUCUGAGAGGAUGACCAGCCACACUGGAACUGAGACACGGUCCAGACUCCUACGGGAGGCAGCAGUGGGGAAUAUUGCACAAUGGGCGCAAGCCUGAUGCAGCCAUGCCGCGUGUAUGAAGAAGGCCUUCGGGUUGUAAAGUACUUUCAGCGGGGAGGAAGGGAGUAAAGUUAAUACCUUUGCUCAUUGACGUUACCCGCAGAAGAAGCACCGGCUAACUCCGUGCCAGCAGCCGCGGUAAUACGGAGGGUGCAAGCGUUAAUCGGAAUUACUGGGCGUAAAGCGCACGCAGGCGGUUUGUUAAGUCAGAUGUGAAAUCCCCCGGGC